ensembl:lncRNA
AUUCUGUAUCACAGGUGGUGCUGCCCCUCUCCCGGAGCCCUAACUGAUGAGGCGUCUUCUGUGAAUCCCCAGAAUCAAUCAUUCCCCAGCUGUGCCCUUCUAGUAAAGCACAGAGUGCACUUUGCUGUGCUUUAAUGAUUGACAGGUCUCUCGCUCUCAUUAACGGAGAGCUGACAUGGGUCGCAUGCUUACCUCGUGCCAGGCACUACUUUGAGCACUCACUUAAUCCUUACAACAACCUGAGGAGGUUUGGAUUGUUAUCAUUAUUUCCAUUUUAGGGACAAGGCGAGCAGACACAGAAUAGUGACGUGAUGUGCCCAUGCUGUCCCAGCUAGGAAGAGAAAGCUCCAGGACUCAUACAGCCAGGCAGCCUGGUCCAGGGCUAGCUCUCUUCCCCGCUGCGUGGUGAGCUCUUCAACGAGCAAAUCCCCACCUUCUCCCAAACCCUGGUGCCAGAAUGAAUGAAUGAAUGAACGACCCGCCUACUUCAUCUGAGGAGAAAAUGACUUUCCUACAAAGUUGCUGGAAGGAUGACGAAAAUGGAAGCUUUGGAGUCUAGGAUCCUUGCAUGCCAUCCUUCGCAGACUGGAAGGGAAGACUAUGAAGGGUCCACAGUCAAGGUCUUGUUAGUGGACAAGAGACCUAAUUACUUACCAAAUUAUGUGUCACCCGAAAGCCAUUGGCAUGCUCUCUGGGAGCAGUAAAUACUGGCAACGCAGUUCACCACCAGAAGAGCCUGCUUUUCUCCCCAGCCCAGGCUGAUGCCUCACCCGGGGUGGAGCCGUCUCUACCCGAGGACUGGAGGGCUGAGCCUGGCCAGAGGGAAGAAGUCCCACACAGGACACAGAAGGAAGGGAGUUGAAGCUCUGGAAGCUUUCUGCAACUUGGAGGGUUCCGGCAUUCACAUAAGAAGAGUGAACCCUCAGACCGGUCAAUGCAUCGUUCAUGUCUGGUGUCCGUACUCUGCCGAUUCUGCAUAAGCCAAACCACGAGAGGGUUUAUCAUGGUCAAAUGCAAGGCUUUUAUUCAGCACCAGACUUGGGGGGAGGACUUCCGAAUUGGUCUAGUCCAAACUUUCAUUUCACAGAUGAGGGACCUGAGGCUCUAGAAAGGGAGAUCCUUCCCAUUCUCAUGGCAUACUAGGGACUUGAGAUGAGGCCCAGAGCCAAGCCGGCCAGCGUGGAAGCAGGGGAGUCAGCCGAGAGCCAGCGCCCCAGCCCCAGCACAGCAACCCCCCUCCUUGCACAGACUUUACUGAGCCCCACGGCACCCGGCCUCACGGGUCCAGAGUGUGCCCACCUGGGGCCCUGCUGGAAGUAAGAUCCUGUCGCCCAGCCCACGGCAUGUCCUAACCUUCCUGACGCUUUAGCCCGUGCUUAUAAACCCUUUUCAUUCUUCCCAUUUCUUCUGAGAGCUAGCUUUCCAAAACAGUCCCUGUCACAUCCCCAAGUCUGCAAACUCGGGCUUCACGAGCUCCUUUUCCAUGUCAAAUCCAAAGAGGAAAAGAGGACAGAAUCGCUAAGGAGAUUUCUUUUCCUUCCCCUUAGAAAUCUUCCUCUGAUCUAGGUUUUUCCCUGGAAUAAAAUACCACCGGCACAGAGGGCCGCUGGAGAC